rnacentral:tRNA from 1 species
GGAGAGCUGGCCGAGCGGUCGAAGGCGUUUGAUUCGAAAUCAAAUGUACUCGUAAGGGUACCGUGGGUUCGAAUCCCACGCUCUCCGCCA